CAAACAUUGUGGCUGCUGGUGUAAAAUCCAGCAAAGAGAACAGCAGAACUUCUGCAAUCCGCCCUUGAAAAGGACAACACGCACUUGUAAUCCUGUACCUGGUCCUGUGUAAAACGACCAAAAGCUGUCGGUAUCGCCGUCGCUCAAAUCAAAAGGCAGGCAAAAACCCUUGCAUUGGGUUUAGGGUUUUGCUCUUCUUCGGUUUCUUCUUUUGUCUCUGGUUAAGAUUUAAGUCUUAAGAUUCAGAGAGAGAGAGAGAGAGAGAGAGGCAAACCAAAAAAAUGGCACAAUCACUGGAAUUGCUUCUGAUUCAGUUCUUGAUGCCAGACAACGAUGCCCGAAGACAGGCUGAGGACCAGAUAAAGCGACAGGCGAAGGACCCUCAAGUGAUACCGGCGCUUGUUCACCACCUCCGAACGGCCAAAACCCCCAAUGUCAGGCAGCUCUCUGCUGUCCUCCUCCGCAAGAAGAUCACUGGACACUGGGCCAAGCUCUCUCCUCAGCUCAGGCAACUAGUUAAGUCUUCGCUCAUUGAAAGCAUCACCCUUGAGCAUAGCCCACUUGUAAGGCGAGCUAGUGCAAAUGUUGUGAGCAUCAUUGCUAAGUAUGCUAUCCCAGCAGGUGAAUGGCCUGAUUUGCUGCCCUUUUUGUUCCAAUGCAGUCGGAGUGCGCAAGAAGACCAUAGAGAAGUGGCAUUGAUCCUUUUCAGCUCCUUAACUGAAACAAUUGGCAGUACAUUUCAACCAUAUUUUGCAGAUCUCCAAUCUCUGCUGCUCAAGUGCCUUCAGGAUGAGACCAGUACCCGUGUCAGAGUUGCUGCACUCAAGGCAGUUGGUUCUUUUCUAGAGUUCACCCAUGAUGGGGCUGAAGUGGUUAAAUUUCGAGAAUUCAUUCCUAGCAUUUUGAAUGUAUCACGGCAAUGCCUUGCCAAUGGCGAGGAGGAUGUAGCUACAAUUGCUUUUGAGAUUUUUGAUGAGCUCAUUGAAUCUCCUGCACCUCUUCUUGGGGAAUCUGUAAAAUCAAUAGUUCACUUUUCUCUUGAGGUUUGCUCCAGUCAAAAUUUGGAACCAAAUACACGGCAUCAGGCUAUUCAGAUAAUCUCAUGGCUUGCAAAGUAUAAGUACAAUUCCCUGAAAAAGCAUAAGCUGGUUAUACCCAUUCUACAAGUUAUAUGCCCUUUACUUGCAGAAACAAGUCAGGGAGACGAGGAUGAUGAUCUUGCAGCUGAUAGAGCUGCUGCGGAAGUUCUUGACACAAUGGCUGUAAAUCUUCCAAAGCAUGUUUUUCCUCCUGUUUUUGAAUUUUCUUCAUUAAGCAUUCAAAGCAUUAAUCCAAAGUAUCGAGAAGCUUCAGUGACAGCCUUAGGCAUUGUAUCAGAAGGAUGUUUUGAGUUAAUGAUAGAUAAAUUGGAACCUAUGCUUCAUAUUACCCUUGGAGCUUUGAAGGAUCAAGAACAAUUGGUAAGAGGGGCUGCAUCAUUUGCAUUAGGUCAAUUUGCAGAGCACCUGCAGCCUGAAAUUAUAUCUCACUAUGAAAGUGUUCUUCCAUGCAUUUUAAAUGCCGUUGAAGAUGCUUCUGAUGAAGUAAAGGAAAAAUCAUACUAUGCAUUGGCAGCAUUUUGUGAAAACAUGGGUGAAGAAAUACUUCCUUAUCUUGAUCCUUUGAUGGGGAGAUUGCUUGCAGCACUUGAAAAUAAUCCUCGUAAUUUGCAGGAGACAUGCAUGUCUGCCAUUGGUUCUGUAGCAUCUGCUGCAGAACAAGCCUUCAUUCCAUAUGCUGAGAGGGUUCUUGAGUUGAUGAAGGUCUUCAUGGUGCUUACCAAUGAUGAAGACCUCCGCUCACGAGCAAGGGCAACUGAACUAGUUGGCAUCGUUGCAAUGGCUGUUGGAAGAACUAGGAUGGAGCCAAUAUUACCUCCUUUUAUUGAAGCAGCUAUUUCUGGUUUUGGAUUGGAAUUCAGUGAACUUAAAGAAUACACUCAUGGAUUUUUCAGCAAUGUUGCAGAUAUUUUAGAUGAUGGUUUUGUGCAGUACCUUCAGCAUGUUGUUCCCCUUGCAUUUUCUUCAUGCAAUCUAGAUGAUGGAUCUGCAGUAGAUAUUGAUGAUUCUGAUGGUGAUGAAAGUGUUAAUGGAUUUGGUGGAGUGUCUUCUGAUGAUGAUGCUCAUAAUGAACCAAGAAUGCGCAAUAUUAGUAUAAGGACAGGAGUCUUGGAUGAAAAGGCGGCAGCAACUCAGGCCAUUGGCUUAUUUGCACUGCAUACAAAGAGUUCAUAUGCUCCUUAUUUGGAGGAGUCAUUACGGAUAUUAGUGAGGCAUUCUGGGUACUUUCAUGAGGAUGUUCGGCUUCAGGCUAUUAUUUCUUUGAAACAUAUGUUAACAGUGGCACAGGCAGUCUUCCAAGGUCACAAUGAAGGGUCAACAAAGGAAAAAGAAGUUCUUGAUACUGUGAUGAAUAUCUACAUCAAGACAAUGACUGAAGAUGAUGAUAAGGAAGUAGUUGCUCAAGCCUGUGAGAAUAUAGCGGAUAUCAUCAAAGAAAAUGAAUACAUGUCUCUUGAGCCUUAUUUCCCUAGGCUUGUUGAUGCAACAUUAGUACUACUUCGGGAAGAUUCAGCUUGUCAACAUACAGAGUCUGAUAGUGACAUUGAGGAUGAGGACACUGAACACGAUGAAGUACUCAUGGAUGCGGUAUCUGAUCUCCUUCCUGCAUUUGCAAAAUCCAUGGGGUCUCAGUUUGGACCCAUAUUUGCAGAGCUGUUUGGACCCUUGAUGAAGUUUGCAAAAGCUUCACGCCCACCACAAGAUCGGACCAUGGUUGUUGCCUGCCUUGCUGAAGUUGCCCAAGAAAUGGGCUCUCCAAUUGCAGGCUAUGUUGAUAAUGUAAUGCCCUUGGUGUUAAAAGAAUUAGCAUCAUCAGAGGCAACUAAUAGAAGGAAUGCUGCAUUUUGUGUGGGUGAAUUAUGUAGAAAUGGUGGGGAGCCAACCCUGAAAUACUAUUCAAGUAUACUUCAUGGACUUUACCCAUUAUUUGGAGAAUCCGAACCAGAUGAUGCUGUAAGAGAUAAUGCUGCUGGUGCGGUUGCAAGGAUGAUCAUGGUGCACCCUGAGUCUAUCCCUUUGAACCAGGUUCUCCCUGUUUUUCUGAGAGUUCUGCCUUUGAAAGAAGAUCGAGAGGAGUCUAUGGCUGUAUAUAGCUGUGUUUGUAAUCUUGUAUUAUCUUCUAAUCCCCAUAUCCUAUCUCUAGUCCCAGAGUUGGUUAAUCUUUUUGCUCAAGUGGUGGCAUCACCUGCUGAGACUCCUGAAGUUAAAGGUCAAGUUGGCAGGGCUUUCUCUCACCUGAUUUCCCUCUAUGGCCAUCAGUUGCAACCCAUCUUGAGCAAUCUUUCACCUGCAUAUGCUAAUGCCUUGGCUGCAUUUGUACCAAAUAGUUGAUUAAGCCAAAUGCUCCUGUUCCUACACUUAACGAAUUUUGAACCAGAAAAUGAUUGAAUAUUUGAAUAUCAUUCCCAGGUUUUGCAGUCCAUUCUUGUCAAGUGCCUCCUUUUUUCCUGUGUGGUUGAGAUUGUUUUAUCUUCAAGUUUCUCCAUGUCUAUGGCGUUCUUUUUUCCAAUUAUUUAACAUUUUUUAACUUUUAUUUGCUUUCAGUGAGCUUCUGUUUAUUUUCCCCAUUAUUUCAUUUUUUUCUUGUUUAGCUUAAGCAGCCCAUAGUCUUUUUGAUUUUGAGAGGAAUUUGCAGAUGAUUUGUGAGGGGAUUUUCCCAUUCUUGUGUGAAUAUACAUACGUUAAUGUAUAUUAAAAUGUGUUCCUUGCAUUGAAAUGAAUGAUCAAUUAAUUGAAGCCAUUACCAUUCUGUUAUCAA